AGGGAAUCUUCCGCAAUGGACGAAAGUCUGACGGAGCAACGCCGCGUGAGUGAUGAAGGUUUUCGGAUCGUAAAGCUCUGUUGCCAGGGAAGAACGUCCGUUAGAGUAACUGCUAACGGAGUGACGGUACCUGAGAAGAAAGCCCCGGCUAACUACGUGCCAGCAGCCGCGGUAAUACGUAGGGGGCGAGCGUUGUCCGGAAUUAUUGGGCGUAAAGCGCGCGCAGGCGGCUGUUUAAGUCUGGUGGUUAAGCCUGGGGCUCAACCCUAGGUCGCACUGGAAACUGGGCAGCUUGAGGGCAGAAGAGGAGAGUGGAAUUCCACGUGUAGCGGUGAAAUGCGUAGAGAUGUGGAGGAACACCAGUGGCGAAGGCGACUCUCUGGGCUGUAACUGACGCUGAGGCGCGAAAACGUGGGGAGCAAAC
rnacentral:rRNA from 1 species